UACGUAGGGUGCGAGCGUUGUCCGGAUUUAUUGGGCUUAAAGGGCUCGUAGGCGGUUUAUUAAGUCAGUGGUGAAAGCCUGUGGCUCAACUGUGGGCUUGCCGUUGAUACUGGUAGGCUUGAGUGCUGUAGGGGAGGCUGGAAUUCCUGGUGUAGCGGUGGAAUGCGUAGAUAUCAGGAGGAACACCGGUGGCGAAGGCGGGCCGCUGGGCCGUUACUGACGCUGAGGAGCGAAAGCGUGGGGAGCAAACAGG
rnacentral:rRNA from 1 species